rnacentral:misc_RNA from 1 species
GAUGAAGAACGCAGCGAAAUGCGAUAAGUAGUGUGAAUUGCAGAAUUCAGUGAAUCAUCGAAUCUUUGAACGCACAUUGCGCCCCUUGGUAUCCCGAGGGGCAUGCCUGUUCGAGCGUCAUUUCACCACUCAAGCCUGGCUUGGUGUUGGGCGACGUCCCCUUUAGGGACGCGCCUUGAAACGCUCGGCGGCGUGGCACCGGCUUUAAGCGUAGCAGAAUCUUUCGCUUUGGAAGUCGGGGCCCCGCCUGCCGGAAUACCUACUCGUAAGGUUGACCUCGGAUCAGGCAGGGAUACCCGCUGAACUUAAGCAUAUCAUAAGCGGAGGA